CGGUGAAUACGUUCCCGGACCUUGUACACACCGCCCGUCAAGCCAUGGAAGCCGGGUGUACCUAAAGUCGAUAACCGCAAGGAGUCGCCUAGGGUAAAACUGGCGACUGGGGCU
rnacentral:rRNA from 1 species